rnacentral:rRNA from 1 species
CGGACGGGUGAGUAACACGUGGAUAACCUACCUAUAAGACUGGGAUAACUUCGGGAAACCGGAGCAUACCGGAUAAUAUAUUGAACCGCAUGGUUCAAUAGUGAAAGACGGUUUUGCUGUCACUUAUAGAUGGAUCCGCGCCGCAUUAGCUAGUUGGUAAGGUAACGGCUUACCAAGGCAACGAUGCGUAGCCGACCUGAGAGGGUGAUCGGCCACGCUGGAACUGAGACACGGUCCAG